GUUGAAAGUUGAAAGUUGAAAGUUGAAAUUUAAAAUUUGAACUUUUUGAAAUUUGAAAUUUGAAAUUUGAAAUUUAAAAUUUAAAGUUUUUAAAAUUUGAAAUUUGAAAUUUGAAAUUUAAAAUCAAAAUUAAAUUUGAAUUUUUAAAUUUUAGAAAUUUGUACAUCUUUGGUAGCCCAAAAUGGUUGAAUUUUUUUUUCUUUGGUUAAAAUGGAUUGUAAGUUUACUCUAUUUUUUGGAGUAUAGUAUAACUAUACUCAAAAAAUUACGUCAUAUUUUUUUUUCCUCCAAAUGCUUCAUAGGAUUAUUUUCCUACCGGCAUAGUAUAGUUUAACUAUGCUAUGUUUUUAAAGGUAUUCAAACGGGGCCUUUAAACUAUUUAUAAAUU
rnacentral:lncRNA from 1 species